UCCUACUGGUUAAGGCGACAGACUAGAAAUCUGUUGGGCUCUGCCCGCACAGGUUCGAAUCCUGU
rnacentral:tRNA from 1 species